rnacentral:rRNA from 1 species
AGAGUUUGAUUCUGGCUCAGAACGAACGCUGGCGGCGUGCCUAACACAUGCAAGUCGAGCGAGAAAGUCCCGGCAACGGGAUGAGUAAAGCGGCAAACGGGUGAGUAACGCGUAGGUAAUCUAUCCUUCGGANCGGGAUAACCUGCUGAAAAGUGGGAUAAUACCGGAUAACGUUCUUGUGGGUAUCCUAUGAGAACCAAAGGGGGCGAGCGUAAGCAGCUCCCACCAAAGGAGGAGCCUGCGUCCGAUUAGCUAGUUGGUGGGGUAAAGGCCUACCAAGGCGACGAUCGGUAGCCGGCCUGAGAGGGCGACCGGCCACACUGGAACUGAGACACGGUCCAGACUCCUACGGGAGGCAGCAGUGGGGAAUAUUGCGCGAUGGGCGAAAGCCUGACGCAGCGACGCCGCGUGGGUGAUGAAGGCCUUCGGGUUGUAAAGCCCUGUCUGGUGGAACGAAUGGCUUAGCGGCAAAUAACCGCUAGGCGUGACGGUACCACCGAAGGAAGCCCCGGCUAACUACGUGCCAGCAGCCGCGGUAAGACGUAGGGGGCGAGCGUUGUUCGGAUUUACUGGGCGUAAAGCGCGCGUAGGCGGCUAGAUAAGUCGGGUGUGAAAUCCCUCGGCUUAACCGAGGACCCGCAUCCGAUACUGCCUGGCUCGAGUCUAGGAGAGGAAAGCGGAAUUCCCAGUGUAGCGGUGAAAUGCGUAGAUAUUGGGAGGAACACCGGUGGCGAAGGCGGCUUUCCGGACUAGCACUGACGCUGAGGCGCGAAAGCUAGGGGAGCGAACGGGAUUAGAUACCCCGGUAGUCCUAGCCGUAAACGAUGGGCACUAGGUGUGGGAGGUAUUGACCCCUUCCGCGCCGAAGCUAACGCAUUAAGUGCCCCGCCUGGGGAGUACGGCCGCAAGGCUAAAACUCAAAGGAAUUGACGGGGGCCCGCACAAGCGGUGGAGCAUGUGGUUUAAUUCGACGCAACGCGAAGAACCUUACCAGGGCUUGACAUCCCACGAACCUGCCUGAAAGGGCGGGGUGCCCGCAAGGGAACGUGGAGA